GAGUUUGAUCCUGGCUCAGAACGAACGCUGGCGGCAUGCCUAACACAUGCAAGUCGAACGAAGCCUUCGGGCUUAGUGGCGCACGGGUGCGUAACGCGUGGGAAUCUGCCCUCAGGUACGGAAUAACUCAGGGAAACUUGAGCUAAUACCGUAUAAUGACUUCGGUCCAAAGAUUUAUCGCCUGAGGAUGAGCCCGCGUCGGAUUAGCUAGUUGGUGAGGUAAAAGCUCACCAAGGCGACGAUCCGUAGCUGGUCUGAGAGGAUGAUCAGCCACACUGGGACUGAGACACGGCCCAGACUCCUACGGGAGGCAGCAGUGGGGAAUAUUGGACAAUGGGCGAAAGCCUGAUCCAGCAAUGCCGCGUGAGUGAUGAAGGCCUUAGGGUUGUAAAGCUC
rnacentral:rRNA from 1 species